rnacentral:rRNA from 1 species
AUUGAACGCUGGCGGCAUGCUUUACACAUGCAAGUCGAACGGCAGCGCGGGCUUCGGCCUGGCGGCGAGUGGCGAACGGGUGAGUAAUGCAUCGGAACGUGCCCAGUAGUGGGGGAUAGCCCGGCGAAAGCCGGAUUAAUACCGCAUACGACCUGAGGGUGAAAGCGGGGGACCGAAAGGCCUCGCGCUAUUGGAGCGGCCGAUGUCGGAUUAGCUAGUUGGUGGGGUAAAGGCUUACCAAGGCGACGAUCCGUAGCUGGUCUGAGAGGACUACCAGCCACACUGGGACUGAGACACGGCCCAGACUCCUACGGGAGGCAGCAGUGGGGAAUUUUGGACAAUGGGGGCAACCCUGAUCCAGCCAUGCCGCGUGCGGGAAGAAGGCCUUCGGGUUGUAAACCGCUUUUGUUCGGGAAGAAAUCCUCUGGGCUAAUACCCCGGGGGGAUGACGGUACCGGAAGAAUAAGCACCGGCUAACUACGUG